GGAGUCUACAAGUUUUGUCCGCCACAUGACGGACUCGCGGGUCUUAAGCGCUCUGAUAUCUGCGCUGGCCUCAAAUCGCCACCAGCUUUUAGUGCGAAUUGCUCGGGCUCGCUCAUGGGCACGCAGGUCACUGCCCGCCUGAGGCGGGCACUACAGCUUCAGGUGACUUUUAAAGAGAGCGAGGAGGUAAAGGGGGCUGUCCUAGCCGGAAAGGCAAAUUCCAGUACUCAUAUUCGUCUCCAUUAAACAUAUGUGCAAAUUUCCAAAACACGACCUGGUCACUCUUCUCUGAAUCCAAGGGUUCAGUUUUUUUGGAGGGCGAGCCGGUUCGGGAGGCCUCUGCAGAAGUGAGGGCAGCAACUUGUCGUGGAAUGGAUGCGCAACGAACACCAACAAGAAAAAAAGGGACGAGUUUUUGGCUACAAGAAGAGUGAGGCACCAUACUGGAAUUCGCAAAAGACGAAACGGACGGUUCGGCCUUGUUCGGUGUGCCACCUACAAACGUUUUGAGCCAUCAUUGUAGUCGAAUUAAAUUCGGGUACUAAAGCGCAAAGCUCCGUUGGGAACACAAGAGCGCUAAAAAAACGGCAACGGCAUCACUCGUUUGUGUGCUCUCACACCCACGUUUCCCUGUCAGUACCUAAGUCUGUGCUGUGGGAUGUCUGCCUUUUUGAAAGCCACCAGAUGUCCUCUGUUAGAGUCUCAAAGACGAUCCGAAAGUUGGAACUAACAGACAGGAACUGCUCCGAUUCACAAGCAUCUUCAACAAAUGUAUAACUGGUGCUACCAAUACAAAACAGGUAUAAACACGAUUGCCUUUUGUGUCCUGACGCGUUCAUCUCAUUAUUUGGACAGCCGGAGCUCGCAUUCUAGUGUAUAUCUGCAUUGAUGGUACUUUGGCAAGUUUGCGACAACGCUCAAAGAAUGGAUUCGCCCUGUCUACAGCAGCAUAAGGAAAGAGCAUCAGGCCCUUGAGUUCUCGAACUUUAUCCCUGGAUCGAUACUUCAAGAAGGAG
rnacentral:lncRNA from 1 species